rnacentral:lncRNA from 1 species
AACACCUCAAAAUUGAUUGCCAUCUAAUCCGUCAUCAUUUGAAGGAAGGUUUCAUUCAAUCUCAGUUUGUUCCUAGUAAGCAGCAACCAGCAGAUAUUUUCAUCAAGAGCCUCUCAUUUCCUAAGUUUGAUUUUCUCUUGCCCAAGCUGGGGAUGUAGAGAAUUAAGAUAUUCACCUGUUGCAUUUUCUGUAAUAACAGCAUGCAUAAUGGAGUGUGCUAUGCCAGCUGUAUUUUGUGUUGUA